rnacentral:rRNA from 1 species
AUUGAACGCUGUCGGCAGGCCUAACACAUGCAAGUCGAACGGAGUGGCGGACGGGUGAGUAAUGUCUGGGAAACUGCCUGAUGGAGGGGGAUAACGUCCGGAAACGGGCGCUAAUACCGCAUACUAUCAGAUGAGCCUAGGUCGGAUUGGCUAGUUGGUGGGGUAAAGGCGUACCAAGGCGACGAUCCGUAACUGGUCUGAGAGGAUGAUCAGUCACACUGGAACUGAGACACGGUCCAGACUCCUACGGGAGGCAGCAGUGGGGAAGAUUGGACAAUGGGCGAAAGCCUGAUGCAGCCAUGCCGCGUGUGGGAAGAAGGUUUUCGGAUUGUAAAGCACUUUAAGUUGGGAGGCGUUACCAACAGAAUAAGCACCGGCUAACUUCGUGCCAGCAGCCGCGGUAAUAC